UUAAUUGAAACCAAAUAGAGGUUUAUCAUUGUUAAUGAUAUCAUUGUAUUAUAAUACCAAUUAAA
rnacentral:tRNA from 2 species